rnacentral:rRNA from 1 species
GACGGAGGAUGCAAGUGUUAUCCGGAAUCACUGGGCGUAAAGCGUCUGUAGGUGGUUCGAAAAGUCCACUGUUAAAAAUUGAGGCUUAACUUCAAAGAUGCCGUGGAAACUUUCAAACUAGAGUAUGGUAGGGGUAGAGGGAAUUUCCAGUGGAGCGGUGAAAUGCGUAGAUAUUGGAAAGACCGCCGAUGGCGAAGGCACUCUACUGGGCCAUUACUGACACUGAGAGACGAAAGCUAGGGGAGCAAAUGGG